rnacentral:rRNA from 1 species
UACAGAGGGGGCAAGCGUUGUUCGGAAUUACUGGGCGUAAAGGGCGCGUAGGCGGCCUGCUAAGUCGAACGUGAAAUCCCUGGGCUCAACCCAGGAACUGCGUCCGAUACUGGUUGGCUCGAAUCCGGGAGAGGGAUGUGGAAUUCCAGGUGUAGCGGUGAAAUGCGUAGAUAUCUGGAGGAACACCGGUGGCGAAGGCGGCAUCCUGGACCGGUAUUGACGCUGAGGCGCGAAAGCCAGGGGAGCAAACGGG